rnacentral:misc_RNA from 1 species
CGUUCUAUGGGGCAACUUUGGAGGUAAGCUCCUCUCUUUCAUGUGUAUCAUGAUUGAACAUAAUUGUCUAAAAGGAGGCCUUAACCUAAACGUUUUUCCAUCUCUGCAUAAAUAUUGUAUCUGGGCACUUGCCCACAUAAGUUUGUGGUUUUUAACAUGGUACUCAGAAUGAAUGAACAAAUGCAGACUUAUAAAAUAAAUAUGGCUUUGAUGCAUUGUUGUUAAGCUCCACUCGGUUUGAAAUUCAUGGUGCUCACUUCACUAGAUGAAAAUUCAAGUAUUUUGAUACGAACCUGCCUAACUCCACCUCAAA